rnacentral:rRNA from 1 species
GGAGUCUAGCAUGUGCGCAAGUCAUUGGGACAUUACUAAACCUAAAGGCGCAAUGAAAGUGAAUGUUUGCCUUGCGCAAACUUAGGGAAGAUAGAUGACCGUUAAAAGACAGUUGUCUCGCACUCCCGGGGCGUCUCAUUCUCAUUGCGAGAAGAGGCGCACCAAGAGCGUACACGCUGGGACCCGAAAGAUGGUGAACUAUGCCUGGUCAGGACGAAGUCAGGGGAAACCCUGAUGGAGGUCCGUAGCGAUUCUGACGUGCAAAUCGAUCGUCGGAACUGGGUAUAGGGGCGAAAGACUAAUCGAACCAUCUAGUAGCUGGUUCCCUCCGAAGUUUCCCUCAGGAUAGCUGGCGCUCAUUGCGCACGAGUUUCAUCCGGUAAAGCGAAUGAUUAGAGGCAUUGGGGUCGAAACGGCCUCAACCUAUUCUCAAACUUUAAAUGGGUGAGAUCUUCGGCUUGCUCGAACUAUUGAAGCCGCAAGACUCGAAUCAGAGUGCCAAGUGGGCCAUUUUUGGUAAGCAGAACUGGCGCUGUGGGAUGAACCAAACGCCGAGUUAAAGCGCCUAAAUCGACGCUUAUGGGAUACCAUGAAAGGCGUUGGUAACUUAAGACAUCAGGACGGUGGCCAUGGAAGUC